rnacentral:rRNA from 1 species
UACGGAGGGUGCAAGCGUUAUCCGGAUUCACUGGGUUUAAAGGGUGCGUAGGCGGCUGUGCAAGUCUGGCGUGAAAGCCCCGGGCUCAGCCCGGGAAGUGCGCUCGAAACUGCGCGGCUCGAGUGCCGGAGGGGAGAGUGGAAUUCCUGGUGUAGCGGUGAAAUGCGUAGAUAUCAGGAGGAAUACCGGUGGCGAAAGCGACUCUCUGGACGGCAACUGACGCUGAGGCACGAAAGCGUGGGGAGCAAACAGG